ensembl:lncRNA
CGGGACUGCUGGGAGGAGAACCAAAAUGGCCCCCAGCAAACUCCACUGAGACCUGUGCCGGGGCGGGGUCAGUGGCGCUCUCCUCACGGUCCCCGAGAUUUCGUGUGUACCCCUGGUCUCAGCAACCACGCAGGUCCCCAGAGCUGGCCGCCCUGCCGUGGACUUGGUCCUGCCUGUGAUGUCCCCAGCGCCCCGCCAGCAGGACUCACAGCUGCACCCCAGCGAGCGGGUCUAGGGCAGUCGGAAGGCCUCUCUGGCUCAGCGUCCCACCUGCAAAGGGACAGACUGGAUGCCCCUGAGAGCCAUCGGUGCCGGUCGUGCAGGGGCUCCCGGCCUGGAUUCUGGGGGGCUGUGUCUCCGUGGAGACAGGAGGCCCUGCGGCAGCCGCAGCCCGCCACCCACGCACAGGCAGGCGUGGGGCGGGGCGCUGCGGUCCCGUUGCCAAGCGCAGAGAACUCUCCACCGGGUCCAGGGUUCCGUCACCAUGGCAACUGCUGGGGCUGGAAGCAGAACUCCUCAGAAUUCUGAAGAACAUAUGGGGGAGGGGAGAACAAGAGGGGGAGCCCCAAGCAGGCCCCCCGGGGGGGGGGCUGCCGCACCCAGUGGCUCCCCCUCCUCUGCCCCCUUCAUUCCCGUCUUCUCCUGAGCGUUCUCUCCUUGCUUUUUCUCCUCUCUCUAGGUCCUCCACAACCUUCCCUGAACCUUGGCUCCUACGAGCAGAAGGCGAUGUUUGCUGGCCACCUAGUACGCACCCGGCACCGUCCCAGGUGCUUUAUGCAUCUGAGCUCAUUUAACCCUCUCGCUGCUGUGUGUGCUUUGAUUGGACGGACUCCAUCUCUACACAUCCCACUGGCUGUUGGCCGGGCCACUGAUUGGCUGCUCUGAGUCCAGUGCUUUCCCCUGAUCCAAUCAGCUGUAACCAGGGAGGCGGGGUUCCAUGAUUGCUGCUGACAUAAUGGAUGUAUUUCUUCACUGGUGAAGCCAUUUGGAACUGGGGAGUCUCUUACCUGAGCAGGCAUCUCACUAACUUGCAUUUGGGUCUCAUGCCUUUGGUGAUGGUGAAACCAAGGCCCAGAGCAGUGAGCAGUCCAAGGUGACAGAGUGGACUGGCGGCGGAGCCGGGAGUGGGUGCUCUUUGCCUGACACCCUGGUGAUUCAGACUGCGUGUGAGCAGCUAACUGCUGUAACAGACGGGCCCAGAAUGUGGUGCACCGCCGCAGCAGAAGCCACCUCUGUCCACGCUCAUCCUGGUGAGCACGCAGGGUGGCGGGUCAGCUGGCGGCCUGACCGUCCGUCAGAGGCCCAGGCGCCUUCCGUUUGUGGCUCGGCCGCCCCGCGGGGCCUGCCGUCGUUCACCGCCAGCUGACAGGAGACGGCUCCGGCCCGGUCGGGGGAGCCCUGCUUUGCUGAAUCCCAGCGACCUUCUUCUCUGGCUUCACUGCUCCCCUCACCCCGCCCUGAAGCCGUCCCUCCCGACACAGGCUUGAGUCACACGCUCAGCCCCUCGUCCCAUCCAGAAAGUUUCGGUUCCGGACUCAGGGCUGGCCAGGAGGGCCAGGCUGCAGUCCGGUCCGCCGAGCAGGGAGGCUGGACUAACUGAGCAGCUGGGGUGAGCCCACCGAUGACCCACUAGCAGGGGCAGGGGCUUCCCCCAUCCUGCGGCAGGAGAGGACGGCCAGCGGCAGCCGGCAGUUCACAGCUGGAGUCUGCCCACAGCAUCACAUCCCUCCUCCCUGCGUGUGUGUGCCUGGCGGUCCCCUCCCCGAGGAGGCACCGUCAGGCUGAGAGGUCGGCCAGCCUGGCACUCUGAGUGGUCGCCUUGUCGUCAGCACUGGGGCGGCUGGGUAACUGCAUAGAAGCUGAAUGAGCAGGGGACACCCCGUCACCUGGAUUCCCGUGGUUCCUGCUUCCUCUCUGCCUGACCUGCUGCCGCUCACAUCUCAAGCCUCUGUCUUCUCUGACCAGCCCACUCCCCAGUCCCCUCUGCUGCGGUCCUCACUGAUGGGGACGAGAUACUUCUGUAACUGGGAUAAGACGCAGGGCUCCAUGUUCUUGAAGAGCUCCUUGUCCGCAUGAGGCCUCGGCAGCCUUCUCUGAAAUCGAGGCUGCUGACUAGUUGGCCUUUCUGAUCCCUUCCCGUUUGGACCAAGUCUUGUCUCAGAAAACAGCAUGUGACGCUCCCAAGGCCAUGAUGGGGCCCAGGGCCGGAUCUGGUCAGCCUGGCUCUGGAGGCCUUUCGCUGGUCCUGCUCCGCUUCCGCUGCGGGAACCCCAGAGGAACGGCCCGAAGGCGGUGGGGCCCCUGUCCCCGCCGCCCCUCUCCCGCCGGCCUCAGCGGCAGGAAGCCCCCGGCCCUCGCGCCCCGGCUCCGCUCCCUCGGCCUCUGUCGCAGCCUCAGCCCCGCACCUGCAGGCCUUCCCGCCCCCUCCGAGCCCGCAGGAGCUGGGGGCCUGGCUCCUCUCCCGCACGGGUGAGGGGGCGUUAGCACUGCCCGAGGGGGCAGGAGGGCCCCGCUCACGGCACAGGGGCCCGCGGUCCCCAGGCGCUUUCGGACGAGGCCGCCUGCCUCCUGGGCCCCGAGGCAGGAGGCCCAGCGGGCAUGAAGAAGGCAGCAAACAGAGGCAGCGCAAUAAACGAGGAAAAGAAAGCGUUUUAGAAAGACGUUGGUACGGAGUGUUGUAAAAAGCCCUUUCAAAAUAAUGAACAUGAAAAAAAAUCAGAACUCAUUUGGAC